GGCUGGCCUGCCGCGAAGGCGUCUGGGAUAUGGGGUUCCCGGGUAGGCACAUCCCAGGGGCAGUAGGGAAGUUAGCAGCGCCUGCGCGGGCACAGUCCUGCCUUAGGGCGGAGGAUGCGCGCGCAGCACCGUCCGCCCAAGCGGAAGUUUCCGCGGGGCAGCUGAGAAGAAUGGUCGCCUUCUGUCCAGCCUGUGGCAAAAGCAUCAAAGAGGCAUUUAAGUUCUGCCCCUACUGUGGAAAACCUCUGCCAACCCAGGAGCAUGAGGAGCCCCCAACUUUUGUUGAACCAUUUGUGACGUCCUUCCGAGGCUCAAGGAGAGAGCUGAGCUCCAGUUCUGAAAAGUCCUCCAAGAAAGUGAAGUGGUCCAACUCUGUCACCUCAUUAUCAUCCUCCUUCUCAGACGGUGACAGUUCUGGGUCCGAAGGUACCUUGAGUCCAUCUGUGAGGCCCAAAGGGUCCUGGAACAGCCCCCCAACCCCCAAAGGCAGCCCGCAGGCAGCCCGGCAAAGCCCUCAGACACGGAAGCGGAGCCGGGUGACCACCUCGCUUGAGGCCUUGCCCACAGGGACGGUGCUGACAGACAAGAGCAAGCAGCACUGGAAGCUCAAGUCCUUCCAGGCCAGGGGCGACCAGGGCAUUCUCUAUGAAGUUGAGCCCGCCUUGGCCUCUGCCUGCAAGUCGAGUCCCCAGAAACAAAGAUAUUCACUCAAAUUAGAUGCCAAGGAUGGCCGCUUGUUCAAUGAGCAGAACUUCUUCCAGCGGGCUGCCAAGCCUCUGCAAGUGAACAAGUGGAAGAAGCUGUACUCGAUCCCGUUCCUGGCCAUCCCUACCUGUGUUGGCUUUGGCAUUCACCAGGACAAGUACAGGUUCUUGGUGCUCCCCUUGCUGGGGAGGAGCCUCCAGUCGGCCCUGGAUGACACCCUGAAGCACGUGAUGUCGGAGAGGUGUGUGUUCCAGGUGGCCUGCCGCCUGCUGGAUGCUUUGGAGUUCCUCCAUGAAAAUGAAUAUGUUCAUGGAAAUGUGACAGCUGAGAAUAUCUUUGUAAAUCCAGAGGACCUGACCCAGGUGACCCUGGUGGGUUACGGCUUCGCCUUCCGCUAUGCCCCAGGUGGCAAACAUGUGGCCUACGUAGAGGGCAGCAGGAACCCGCAUGAGGGGGACCUGGAGUUCAUUAGCAUGGACCUGCACAGGGGGUGCGCGCCCUCCCGCCGCAGCGACCUCCAGGCCCUGGGUUACUGCAUGGUGAAGUGGCUCUGUGGGCUCCUGCCGUGGACAAACUGCCUGCCCAGCACUGAGAAUAUCAUGAAGCUGAAGCAGAACUACAUGGCCAGUGCACAGCUUCUGACCACUUGUGCUGAACUUGCUUGUUUGGAUGCAUCCCUCCCCUUGAAGAGCACAUGACGUCGUCGGGUGCAUGUGUGGUUGGCAGAAGUGGCACCAGGCCGUGAAGCACGUCCUCCAGGCUUUGGCUUAACUGUUACUCCCUCAGGGAGCCCUUCCCUCACCCUCCUCAGGCCUCUGCUCCUGAAUGCUCAGGAGUUGGUCACCUCUCACCUGACGUGGAGGACUGCUGGGUGCCAGGCCUCCCUGCUGGAGGCUGUUGUGCAUCUAUCGCACGUACGUCUACACUAGUCCCCACGCUUCCCCACAUCGUCCUCACAGCAUCGCUAAGGUCAACACUCUUGUCGUCGAGGCUCGGGGAGCUUAGGUCACCAGUCCUGGUCACAUGGCACUGGGGGAGAGGCCCCGGGACUCAGCCCAGGCCGCUCGAGUCCAGAGCAGGCCCUUCCACCUCAACUCCAGCCCUGCCUGAGUGGGGGGCUACCGGUGGUCUGGUGGCCCAGACACAGCCUUCCUUUGCCCGACAGGUAUUUGUUGGGCACCUGCCACAUGCCAGUCUCUGUUCUAGAACAAAGCAGAUAAAAGCCCUGCCCUCGGGAAGCUGACAUGCUCGUGAGGACAUGGGCAGCCCAGAGACGAAGCCCCCAUCCCACCGGAGAGCAGCUCAGGCCACUAUGUCAGACCCCAGCUGGGGCACGAGCCGUUGCCUGUACCCUCUGGUCGUGGCAGGCGGCACUGGCUUCCGCUGCUCGUCAUGAGUCCGAGGUUCCUUUUGAAAAGAAGCCACGUGAAAAGAAGGCGGCCCCAGCUGGCAGCUCGGGACCACAGGGAUGUGGACCCUAGAGCACGGGCGUGGCUGAGGUUCCUAAGCUGCUUCUGCUUGUCGUCAGGGUCCAGGCUGAGCUACUUGCAGAAGGAGACCCUAACCUUUCUUCUCGCCAGAAGCCCCAAGGCAGAAAGGAGGACAAGGGCAUUGGGGUGUCCAGACCGCGUGCCCCUUCAACUCCCGACUGCCUUCUUCGGGCCCAAGGAGGCCGCUCUGCUGCCACCACCUCCAGCCAGAGGGAGGCGCGUGGUGAGGGGCGAGCAGGGGCUGUCCUCCUCCAGGCAGGACCUGCGCCCCAGGCUGCAGGGAGACUCGCCUGGCCGGUGGCCACCGCACCCUGGGGGUCUGCUCUGAAAGGGGAGAACUCGCCAGGUGGCCUGGAGCAGACUGCCCUGGUGCCCAUGUUGGGGCAGAACCCCCCCGGCCCUCCUCACCGCUGAGCCCCCAGCCCCAGGAGAGAAGGAGUGACGGAACAAAUGCGGGCCCCUGCCUGGGCCGAGACACAGUCAGGAAGCAGGUGCUGCCGGGUCCAGGAGCUGCCCGGGGCACUGUGGGAGCAGGAAGAAGGCGCGUGACCCGCCUGUCCCAGGAGACGCUGGCCGAGCCAAGUCUGUGGAGAGCAGAGGAGCUGCAGGCAGGCGGGGAUGGCCGGGUUUCUAGGCAGACAGGCCUGCACAUACGUGAGCUCUCCAUCCAUCCAUCCUUCCUUCCAUCCAUUUGUUCGUUCAUUCAGAAGCUGUUUCCUGAAGGCAUCUGUGUGCCAGUCUCUGUGCUGGUACCUGCCAGGCACCUCUGGCAUCCUGUUCUCACCAGCAGCCCGAGGCCCACAGGGUCCGACCCGCCCGGCCCUCCCCUUCUGACAGCAGUCCCCGUCCCCUUCGCACAGCUCCCCGCCUUCCCCUUUACUGUCGACGGAGCCGUCACCUGCGGCCCUGCCAUGCCUGCGGGAGGUACAGGGCUCAGGCACACGCUGGAGAUACUGCAGCCUCCAGACACCACAGUACAGCGAAGAUAGCAGCAACAUGAGUCCCACGAAUUUCUUCGUUUCCUGGUGCAUAUGGAAGUUUCCACUCUACUGUAGCCUAUUGAGCGUCCAGUAGCAUUAUGUCUAAAAAAACAACAUGCACAGCGGCCUGGAGUAAGCACAUGCUGGGAAAAAUGGCGCCAAUAGACUUGCUCAAUGCAGGAUUGCCACAACCUUCAAUUUAUAAAAAAAAAAUAUUUGUGAAGCACAAUAGAGCAAAGCUUGAUAAAGCAAGGAAUGCCUGUAAAUGAAACAGGUCAUAGUGAUCAUUUAAUACCAACGAAAUUACUGGGAACAGCAGUGCACCCAGAGCCCCAGAACCCACCCACAGCCUGAGAGCCGGGCCCGGCAGGCGUCCCUCUGAGGGUAGCAGUCCAUCCGGGCGGCCCUUCUGGGCCCGCUGGCCCGGCCUCUGCUGAGUGAGUCGAGGCAGGAAGCAGGGAACCCACGAGACCGCUGCACCCUGCCACGUCCUUCUCAAGACUUUUGACUGGUGUACAGUGCCCUCUGCCCUCCGUCCAACACAUACUUAUUGAUGUCUUGUGCAUUCCAACUCAUGAAGACACAGUGAUUAAGUAGAAGGAGAGAGAGGCUGAUCUCCCCCAGCUCCUGGCGUGCAAGGCCUGGUGCGGGCAAGACACAGGCACAGGUCCCUGGACAGCCCACAGUCCCUCCUGAGACAGUGCAGUGGCCAAGCCAGGCACUCAGCCACCCUGCAGGGGUACCUGGAGGUGGUGAUGGCCCUCAGGUAUGACGAGAAGCCACCCUACGCCGUGCUGAGGAACAAUCUG